UCGGUUGAUCCUGCCGGACCUGACUGCUGUCGGAUUGAUACUAAGCCAUGCGAGUCAUUGUAGUAAUACAAGGCAGACGGCUCAGUAACGCGUAGUCAACCUACCCUAUGGAUGGGGAUAACCUCGGGAAACUGAGAAUAAUACCCGAUAGAACAUUAUUCCUGGAAUGGUUUAUGUUUCAAAUAAUUUAUUGCCGUAGGAUGGGACUGCGGCCUAUCAGUUUGUUGGUGAGGUAAUGGCCCACCAAGACUAUUACAGGUACGGGCUCUGAGAGGAGUAGCCCGGAGAUGGGUACUGAGACACGGACCCAGGCCCUAUGGGGCGCAGCAGGCGAGAAAACUUUGCAAUGUGCGAAAGCACGACAAGGUUAAUCCGAGUGGUUUCUGCUAAAGGAACCUUUUGUCAGUCCUAGAAACACUGAUGAAUAAGGGGUGGGCAAGUUCUGGUGUCAGCCGCCGCGGUAAAACCAGCACCUCAAGUGGUCAGGAUGAUUGUUGGGCCUAAAGCAUCCGUAGCCUGCUUUGUUAGUUUUCGGUUAAAUCCAUAUGCUCAACGUAUGGGCUGCCGGGAAUACUGCNNNCUAGGGAGUGGGAGAGGUAGACGGUACUCGGUAGGAAGGGGUAAAAUCCUUCGAUCUAUUGAUGACCACCUGUGGCGAANNCGGUCUACCAGAACACGUCCGACGGUGAGGGAUGAAAGCUGGGGGAGCAAACCGGANUAGAUACCCGGGUAGUCCCAGCUGUAAACUAUGCAAACUCGGUGAUGCAUUGGCUUGAUGCCAAUGCAGUGCCNCAGGGAAGCCNUUAAGUUUGCCGCCNGGGAANUACNUACGCAAGUAUGAAACUUAAAGGA
rnacentral:rRNA from 1 species